rnacentral:rRNA from 1 species
CUGCAGUCGACGGUGACGACGGGGCUUGCUCUGUCUGAUCAGUGGCGAACGGGUGAGUAACACGUGAGUAACCUGCCCCCGACUCUGGAAUAACCGUGGGAAACGACGGCUAAUACCGGAUAUGAGACGCACGGGCAUCUGUGUGUCUGGAAAGAUUUAUCGGUCAGGGAUGGACUCGCGGCCUAUCAGCUUGUUGGUGGGGUAAUGGCCCACCAAGGCGACGACGGGUAGCCGGCCUGAGAGGGCGACCGGCCACACUGGGACUGAGAUACGGCCCAGACUCCUACGGGAGGCAGCAGUGGGGAAUAUUGCACAAUGGGCGCAAGCCUGAUGCAGCGACGCCGCGUGAGGGAUGAAGGCCUUCGGGUUGUAAACCUCUUUCAGCAGGGAAGAAGCGAAAGUGACGGUACCUGCAGAAGAAGCGCCGGCUAACUACGUGCCAGCAGCCGCGGUAAUACGUAGGGCGCAAGCGUUGUCCGGAAUUAUUGGGCGUAAAGAGCUCGUAGGCGGUUUGUCGCGUCUGCUGUGAAAACCUGAGGCUCAACCUCGGGCUUGCAGUGGGUACGGGCAGACUAGAGUGCGGUAGGGGUGACUGGAAUUCCUGGUGUAGCGGUGGAAUGCGCAGAUAUCAGGAGGAACACCGAUGGCGAAGGCAGGUCACUGGGCCGCAACUGACGCUGAGGAGCGAAAGCAUGGGGAGCGAACAGGAUUAGAUACCCUGGUAGUCCAUGCCGUANACGUUGGGCACUAGGUGUGGGGCUCAUUCCACGAGUUCCGUGCCGCAGCAAACGCAUUAAGUGCCCCGCCUGGGGA